AUGUGUGAUCACAUCCACACAUGCAUAUCAAGGACCCAUAGUCUUACCAUCUCACUGUGCCGCGAGCCCAACGUUGAACGACAAUUGGUUGUAGCAGUCGAGGUUAUUCCCGUAGCCGAUGCCGAAGAUGUCACAAUAGCGCUUGUAGAACCCGAUCCGAUCCGCCACCUUGUCGUUCUGCCCCAUGCCGCAUUCGAUCCCGCCGUUGAUGACGUUGGUGAUGACACCAUACCCGGGUACCCGUCCGGCUGCGCUAUCCCUGGCCGUCGGAGUCCACAGCCCCGUGAUCACGUCAUGGCACGACGGCUUGUUGGACUGCGUCGUCAUCCAGAACCAUAUCGCCGUCUUGAACGCCACUGUCGGGUCCGUGGCCACCAGGUCCGGAUUGUUCAGCAGGUCCACCCCGAUUGCGCGGCCCGCCGGUCCGUAGUUGUAGUUGCUGAAUCAAUCCAGCAUGAAACAAUCAGGCCAACAAAGACACUACACUUUUUAUGUUUUUACCAAUCCAAAGUUCCAAACAAUAUCAUAUCAAGUGAGUGA
rnacentral:rRNA from 1 species